rnacentral:rRNA from 1 species
UACGUAGGGUGCAAGCGUUAAUCGGAAUUACUGGGCGUAAAGCGUGCGCAGGCGGUGAUGUAAGACAGGUGUGAAAUCCCCGGGCUCAACCUGGGAACUGCAUUUGAAACUGGCGGGCUUGAGUGUGGCAGAGGGGGGUGGAAUUCCGCGUGUAGCAGUGAAAUGCGUAGAGAUGCGGAGGAACACCGAUGGCGAAGGCAGCCCCCUGGGCCAACACUGACGCUCAGGCACGAAAGCGUGGGGAGCAAACAGG